AACUUCUGAAUGUUGACCUCGGAUCAGGUAGGAAUACCCGCUGAACUUAAGCAUAUCAAUAAGCGG
rnacentral:rRNA from 1 species